rnacentral:lncRNA from 1 species
UAUUUCGAGUUUCUCGGUCCGUUCCAGAGCCAGACAUCCACAGCGGGUCAUGUCUUUAUUUACUACCGUACAUACUUCAACGAUACGGAGACUAUGGCAUAGUACGUAUCGUACAGUACCGAUACUUCAACAUAGUACGUACUGAACGCACACAAGAUCCAAAGGGCGUAAAUAUAGGCAUAGUGACAGCUGGGGUUGAACAGACCUAUCAACACACUUGAAUGCGGAAAAGGUCGAGUUGAGAUGGUGAUUGGUGGAUAGAAUUGUCUGGGUCCUACUUAUAAACAAGAAAUGUUAAGGGAACUCGAGAAGCUGGGUUGAGUGCCUACAACAACAACACUACGGUAGGUACACUGUUGCGUAGUAACAGCUGAAAGCCCAGCAAGUGAAGUCAUUAUUUAGUACCAUGCUGUUAAGAUCCUCCCCUUGGCUCCAGGGCUAUCUAGUAGUAUCCUCAUACAUAUUGGGGUAUUAUGGGGACUGUGUUAAUAUGCAAUGCGACGUAAAUCGUGUACCUACAUUAUACUCCAUAGUACGUAUUUAUUGUGGUGAGUCGGCCAACCCACAUUGGGCCAGUCUCGAAGAUACGAUUUAAACGGUUCAGCUGAGAUCUCCCGUCCCAUCUCGCGCUCAUCUCGCAUCCAAUUCAACAAUCGCGAUUCGACGGGAAUCGCUCACAUUAGACAUCAUAGAUAGAAUGGACCCUGUGGCUAGGAGCACUUUGGACCCCACGGACGAAAAACGUCGAUAUUGUUUAGGUAACUACUAUGUAAUGGUAGUUAGAGGAUUGGUGUCACGUUACACACAAAGGAUACAUCGGCCUGGUAUGGUACCUGCCUGGCUAGAUGUAAGCCACGCCGCGCUCGUUGCCUUCAGGGAUAUAUUGCGAGAUAUAAUAUCAUCGUGCGGUAACUCCGUAUAUACAAUAAGCUACGGAGUGCUGGGUCUGCCCCCCAUUGUUUGCCGGCACAUGCAUGAUGUAUGGGUUUGUAAAAUACGUACGAUAUACAUUCUGUGUACGGGCGACUCCUUUCUUGUAGGGCUGAAUAUUACUACGUACCUUCGGGGGAGUAUUACACUGGCGGGUGGCGAAAAGGUAAUACGAAACCCGUUCUCGCUGCCUGGGAGCCUCGUGGAUUUGUUUCAACAUAACAUGUUGUUCUUAAAGGAACACCCAGCAAAUGAAAUUCUAUGUCUCAUUAAUUCAUUCUUAAUCUUAAAAGGCAGCAUCGUUUCAACCUAUACGAAGUAAUAUAUCUCGACCAAAUAAAUACGUGUUCAAUCAAAAAUCCACCCCGUGUAAUUCGAUGCCUCACUGCCUAGGCCACAACCAAACCAAACGAAACGAAACAAGCCUGGCCAGUGGACAAGACGAAAAAAAAAAAUGACUCACUCAUAUGAAUCACAAGACCGUCCUUCGAUCACAAAAUGUUUAAAUUUAAGAACGAGUAGAAUAAAACAAAAUAGUUCACAAUAGGAUUCAGAUCGUAUGUGGCCUUCCCAUCUCGUAUUGUCUUGUGGCUAUGUACUCGUUCAUUAACUGUUCAAGAUGAGUAAUCUUGCUGCAUUUGGGUUAACUAAGUUGACUUGCGUAUCAAGUACUAUUAACUACGUAGUUGGCUUAUCGUGCUCGACGCCGUACAGGGCCCCUGUUUCUAGAACAUUUCCCUUUUCAGAUCCUUUCUCGAUCUGUACUGCGUGCGUAUGUACGUACGUACGUACACACGCACGAUACAAAAAUACGCUCCACAAACAGAUUUCGCCCCGAAAUAGUGCACGCUGACCUGACUGUUCUAUAAACUGCGGAGUAAAGUUUGGAUUUAGAUCACGGUCCGUAGCCCAGACAUUUACCACGAGACAACAUAGCCAAUCAAUAGGCGCUCGCUGGCGUCGAGGCUGUGCCGUUACUUUGAUUUUUUUUUUUGUUGUACAUGUACAUUCCUUGCGCUGUAGUAAAUUCGAAUUGAGUUCGAGUUUGAUAACGGUGCGUUUGUGUUUUGCAUUUGAGUUUACAUUGGGCGGUGAUUUCGGCGAGGACGUUCGGUUUCAUGUGUAACAAUCAUCAUCAUCAAGAAUUAAAGAUUUCGUAGAUGUACAGUUUCGUAAAAUAUUUUGAGUUUAUCGUCGCGAUUAAAGCCAUUCUCUCGCGCACCAUUGGACAGGAUAUCUUACAAGGGUCUAAUUUGGAGUUCGGGAUACCGAUGUGGACACGGGGGU